rnacentral:tRNA from 1 species
GCCGCUAUGGUGAAAUUGGUAGACACGCUGCUCUUAGGAAGCAGUGCUAAAGCAUCUCGGUUCGAAUCCGAGUGGCGGCA